rnacentral:rRNA from 1 species
UCCUACGGGGGGCAGCAGUGGGGAAUAUUGCACAAUGGGGGAAACCCUGAUGCAGCGACGCCGCGUGAGUGAAGAAGUAUUUCGGUAUGUAAAGCUCUAUCAGCAGGGAAGAAAAUGACGGUACCUGACUAAGAAGCCCCGGCUAACUACGUGCCAGCAGCCGCGGUAAUACGUAGGGGGCAAGCGUUAUCCGGAUUUACUGGGUGUAAGGGGAGCGUAGACGGCCAGACAAGUCAGAAGUGAAAGCCCAGGGCUCAACCCU